rnacentral:tRNA from 1 species
GGUCGUUAGCUCAGUUGGUAGAGCAGUUGGCUUUUAACCAAUUGGUCGUAGGUUCGAANGCCUGCUUUGGGAGCA